rnacentral:rRNA from 1 species
GACGAACGCUGGCGGCGUGCUUAACACAUGCAAGUCGAACGGUAAGGCCCUUCGGGGUACACGAGUGGCGAACGGGUGAGUAACACGUGGGUGAUCUGCCCUGCACUUCGGGAUAAGCCUGGGAAACUGGGUCUAAUACCGGAUAGGACCCUGGGAUGCAUGUCCUGGGGUGGAAAGCUUUUGCGGUGUGGGAUGGGCCCGCGGCCUAUCAGCUUGUUGGUGGGGUGAUGGCCUACCAAGGCGACGGCGGGUAGCCGGCCUGAGAGGGUGACCGGCCACACUGGGACUGAGAUACGGCCCAGACUCCUACGGGAGGCAGCAGUGGGGAAUAUCGCACAAUGGGCGCAAGCCUGAUGCAGCGACGCCGCGUGAGGGAUGACGGCCUUCGGGUUGUAAACCUCUUUCAGCACCGACGAAGCGCGAGUGACGGUAGGUGCAGAAGAAGGACCGGCCAACUACGUGCCAGCCGCCGCCGUAA